rnacentral:rRNA from 1 species
CCUUGCCAGCCCGCUCAGAAACUAAGAAUUGGACGGGGCCGCACAAGCGGAGGAGCAUGUGGUUUAAUUCGAUGAUACGCGAAGGAACCUUACCUGGGCUUAAAUGCUUAAUGACGUACUGGGAAACUGGUAUUUCUUCGGACAUUUUGCAAGGUGCUGCAUGGUUGUCGUCAGCUCGUGCCGUGAGGUGUCGGGUUAAGUCCCAUAACGAGCGCAACCCCUAUUGUUAGUUGCCAUCAGGUCAUGCUGGGGACUCUAACAAAACUGCCCGCGUAAGCGUGGAGGAAGGUGGGGAUGACGUCAAAUCAGCACGGCCCUUACGUCCAGGGCUACACACGUGCUACAAUGGCCGGUACAGAGGGCAGCCACUUGGUGACAAGGAGCAAAUCUCAAAAGCCGGUCUCAGUUCGGAUCGGAGUCUGCAACUCGACUCCGUGAAGUUGGAUUCGCUAGUAAUCGUAGAUCAGCAAUGCUACGGUGAAUACGUUCCCGGGCCUU